AAGACGGUCUUGCUGUCACUUAUAGAUGGAUCCGCGCUGCAUUAGCUAGUUGGUAAGGUAACGGCUUACCAAGGCAACGAUGCAUAGCCGACCUGAGAGGGUGAUCGGCCACACUGGAACUGAGACACGGUCCAGACUCCUACGGGAGGCAGCAGUAGGGAAUCUUCCGCAAUGGGCGAAAGCCUGACGGAGCAACGCCGCGUGAGUGAUGAAGGUCUUCGGAUCGUAAAACUCUGUUAUUAGGGAAGAACAUAUGUGUAAGUAACUGUGCACAUCUUGACGGUACCUAAUCAGAAAGCCACGGCUAACUACGUGCCAGCAGCCGCGGUAAUACGUAGGUGGCAAGCGUUAUCCGGAAUUAUUGGGCGUAAAGCGCGCGUAGGCGGUUUUUUAAGUCUGAUGUGAAAGCCCACGGCUCAACCGUGGAGGGUCAUUGGAAACUGGAAAACUUGAGUGCAGAAGAGGAAAGUGGAAUUCCAUGUGUAGCGGUGAAAUGCGCAGAGAUAUGGAGGAACACCAGUGGCGAAGGCGACUUUCUGGUCUGUAACUGACGCUGAUGUGCGAAAGCGUGGGGAUCAAACAGGAUUAGAUACCCUGGUAGUCCACGCCGUAAACGAUGAGUG
rnacentral:rRNA from 1 species